rnacentral:rRNA from 1 species
UACGUAGGGUGCAAGCGUUGUCCGGAAUUAUUGGGCGUAAAGAGCUUGUAGGCGGUUUGUCGCGUCUGCUGUGAAAACUCGGGGCUUAACCCCGGGCCUGCAGUGGGUACGGGCAGACUAGAGUGCGGUAGGGGAGACUGGAAUUCCUGGUGUAGCGGUGAAAUGCGCAGAUAUCAGGAGGAACACCGGUGGCGAAGGCGGGUCUCUGGGC